CUAAAGGGAGAAAAGGGUUUGGCUUGAUUAGCUAACACCUUUAGCUUUCAGUCCACUUUAGAUCAGAAUCAGACGUUUUACUGUGAUGUGCACUGGUGAGAAUGGUGAGAACUGGUGGAAAUGAUCAACACCAGUGACCAAAAUCCAGCAGCUGAUCCGCCAUCAGAAAAACUGAAAUAACAUCUUCAGUGAGGGGACGGAGGGCUGACUGCGUGACUGCAGGACUGAUUAUGUUGACCUGAAGGAAGAUCCACUUUACCUGCUGGAGAGUGUGACCCAGAGACGUCAUGUGUGUUAACACACAAUUGUGGAUGAUGCACAAGAUGCAAUGACCAUUGACCCGCUUCACAUGUGACAUGUAUUUGCUGUGGGGAGAAUAUCCAGCGUCAAAUGAGCUUAAGCAACAGUCAGUGCAGGUCCCGCCACGUACAUCAGAAGGAGGAUCUCUGAAAAAUGCUCAGAUUCUGGAGGAAUCUGAACAUUUCAUCCAUGACAAGCAAUUACAGAGUAACUGUAGUGCAUCUAGACUACAUGGGGCUCCACGACAGAGUCCAGGAAGCUGGUGUGUUCCAGGAAAGGUAGCAAGAAAGUGAGGAUGGCCUUGAAGAAGAUCAAUUCCAACAAAUGGAGUUUGAUAAGACCAGCUAAUCACACCUCUUUGAGGUGUUUUUCCAUUAAGAAAAAUAAAAUUAUAUAAAUUUGUUGUUUUUUACUAUAAAACUGUUCAACAUGUAAAAAAUAAAUAAAUAAAAAGCAACUUUUUGUUCUAUAAUAUUACAUGAUGACUACAUGAAGUUAUAAAUAUUCAUUGCUGUUUAUGUGGGAAAAUGUGAUCAAAAUUUCAUAUUCAAAUGGUAAUAAAAUUACAGUAGAGCUGGUGAGUUUUAAGUUGGCUGUAUGUUCUGUUGGCGCAGAUGUUUUCUUUUUAGCAUUUGAUGUAAUGCUAAUAUUUAUAGAAAAUAAAAAUUGGGGAUAUCAUAAUAAUAAUCAUUUAUGAAAUUGAAUUUGACAUUUUUGCUUAAAUCAUUUGCUUGUGAUGCUGGUCAUCUAAACAUCUGUGGAAAAAUGGCCUACGAAUGGCCUUUACCUCACUACUAACAUCCUUAAAAGUUACUAGGCAUAAGAUUUAUUUACAUAAACUUUAUGUUAAAUGUAUGAUGAUUUAUGAUGAUUUCUGAAACUUUAAUUAAAAACAACCCUAGUUGUUUAGAUCAUUUAAUUCUACCCCUGUAGGAUAAUAGCCGAUGUCAAGAGUUUGAAUUAAGAUAAUUUAUUAUGCCUAAGUUUAAAUAAAAUGUGACUUAGGCAAUUGUAAUAGCUUUCUGUGAUUUCAAUAUAUUUCUAUGAUUCAAGGCUCAUUUUCAAUCUCAAAAUGAUAAGAUUUGUACUAUAACAUAAAGCUUACUUCUUAAUAAUAAAACCUAUAGGCCAGGGGUGUCCAAACUUUUUUUGUUGGGGCCAGAAGGAGAAAUAUAAGUGUAGUCACGGGCCACAGAUUCUGUAAUAAAACAAAUAUUUUUUUUUGUGUGCAUUCCCAUAAGCUAUCUAUACAUGCUCUGACAUUUGUGGCUAUUAAAGUAUUACAUUUUUU